CCCCAUUGCACCCCGCUCCCAGGAGCUGCAGAGUCGUGGUUUCACCUUGAUUUUGGGGACAUUUUCCACAUCCCUGGCACGUCCUGCAGCAGGUGCAGCCCUUCCCUCCUCUCUCAGCGCUGUCCCCAGGUGUGACAAUCCAGAGGGUGAAAGCAAGGAGUGCAAUUCCCAGGAUCCUGGGAGUCUGUUCAGGGGGCAGGAGCUUUCCAGCAGCUCUGUGCAGUGCUGGCUGGAUCACACCAAAACCAAACCCUGGUAUUAGAGACAGCUUUGCUUAUAAACACCCAGGUUUUUCUCUCUGCCUCUCCAGAGCUGGCAGGGAGCAGGGAUCUCUGCUUGGCCAGCACCUGCCUGUCCUGCUGCUGGAGCUUCUCCCCACCUCAGCUCAUCCUUGCAGCCCCCAAAUCCCAGCUGUGGGCUGUGGGCUGGGGAUCCCAGCAGGGUUUGGGGUCCUUCAGCUCUCCUCUGCCUGCUGUGCUCGGUGCUGGCCGAGCUUUUCAUCCCCUGUUCCUCCUGCUCACCUGGCGGGUCCCUGCUGGGCACCCACUCCUGCAGGUUCAACCCCACUCUUGCAGGUUUAACCCACUCCUGGCAGGAUUAACCCACUCCUGGCAGGUUUAACCCACUCCUGGCCGGGUUUAACCCGCCCCUGGCAGGAUUAACCCCAACCUGACAGGUUUAACCCCAGCCUGGCAGGUUUAACCCACUCCUGACAGGUUUAACCCACUCCUGGCUGGGUUCAACCCACUCCUGGCCGGAUUUAACCCACUCCUGCAGGUUCAACCCCACUCUUGCAGGUUUAACCCACUCCUGGCAGGAUUAACCCACUCCUGGCAGGUUUAACCCACUCCUGGCCGGGUUUAACCCGCCCCUGGCAGGAUUAACCCCAACCUGACAGGUUUAACCCCAGCCUGGCAGGUUUAACCCACUCCUGACAGGUUUAACCCACUCCUGGCUGGGUUCAACCCACUCCUGGCAGGUUUAACCCCACUCUUGCAGGUUUAACCCACUCCUGGCAGGAUUAACCCACUCCUGGCAGGUUUAACCCACUCCUGGCCGGGUUUAACCCACUUCUGGCAGGUUUAACCCACUCCUGACAGGUUUAAUCCCAACCUGACAGGAUUCACCCAAACCUGGCCGGGUUUAACCCACUCCUGGCCGGGUUUAACCCACUCCUGGCAGGUUUAACCCCAGCCUGGCCGGGAAAUGCUGCCCCAGCUCUUCCUCGGGCUCCCGGGAGAGGGCACCGUGCUCCGGAGAAGCGGGAGGAGCCGGGGCUUGAGGGGAGCCUGGGGAUGGGCUGGGGGACCGGGGCUUUGGCUGCAGGGGAAGUUUAGGAUUUCAGGAUGGAAGCUGCAGCCUGAAGGAGCCGCUGCUGACCUUGCUCCCUCCUGCAGCCGCCCUGGGCUGUCCCUGCUGCUGUGACAGCACGGGGGGCUCAGUUUGAGGAGUUCCAGGCGGGUUUUCAGCAGCCCCUGCACGGCUGGAGAGGGGGAACCUCCCUCCCUUUGUGUCCCUGGGGAGUCUCUUCCCUGCCUAAUUGGGAUUAUUUGUGGGUCUCGUUUUCUCCAGGGAGCUGACGCUUAUUGACAGAUAAUCCAUCCUGUAUGGAAAAGUCAUGAUUCAUUGCUUCCUCUCAACUGGGCUCUGUCUCACAGUUUGCUAACAAACAUUUUAAAUCCCUGGCAGUGUAAAAGAAAAGGUUGUGGGAGCAGCUGGGAAAUCCAGGGCUGUGCUUGCCCUUCCCUGCAAUGGCCUGGAGAAGGAUUGGGUGCAAUCCUUAUUCACCUUUUUGGGCCCAAAUAGGUGAGAGGAAAGUUAUUUAUGAGAGAAAUGGGUGUCUGAUUUAUCCAUUUCGUGAAAACCAGCAGAACAGGGCAGAACAAACCACAGUGGACUUUUUAUUUUCCUUUUCUACAUCAUAAAAACUCGCUGGGAUUUUGGCUGCAGCGUGCAUAUUCCCCGGUUUUCAGGCUGGGAGGUAUUUUAGAUGUUUAAAGAAAAGGGAAAGAGAAGAUUUCAGGGAGCUCAGCAACAGUGCCAGGGUUAACGGGGCUGCCUCUGAAAUGUCACCUGGGUGUGACAUGAACGAUUUACAGGAACAGCAGCUCUGAGCUGGGCCUGUCAGCUGAUCCAGAGCUGUGCUCCAGCCCCCAAAAUCUGCCUUUCCCCACGUCAGGAAAGGGCUGUGCAUGGGCAGGGCCUGAAUUUGGGUGUUUUUGUCACCAGGGAAGGUUGAAGUUGGAUAUCAGGACAAUGUUCUUCCCGCAGAGGGUGCUGGGCACAGGGAAUGGGCACAUCCCAGAGCUCCAGGAGCAUUUGGACGACGCUCAGGGUGGGAUUUUGGGGUGUGUGUGCAGGGCCGGCAGCUGGACCCCCCAUUCCCUGUGGUCCCUUCCAGCCAGGAUACCCUGUGGCUCUGCUGGUGAGUUCACAGGCGCCUUUCCGUGGCCUCUGCACCUCCCGCAGGGGUGAUGGAAACUGUUGAUGCGUUCUUGUGCUCGGCUCUUCACGCCCUAAAUAGCUCUGGCCAGUUCUGC
rnacentral:lncRNA from 1 species